AGAUGCAAGGAAAUAAUUACUUUGGCUUAAGCAUAGAAUUUGGAGAACUUUGUAAUUUCUCUUACACCCUGAUGCCCACUUCUGGUAAAGAGGUUUACUGAUUUACCCCAACUCAAUUGAAAACAAGACAGAUAGAUAGAUAAAUGGAUAGACCUAGAUACAAUGAAGAGCAGAUGCUGGCGAAGAGUGCACAGGUGACUCACACCUGUACGGUCAUCAUAUUCGAAGUUACUGGCCACCAUGACUGAUUCAGAGAUGGGCUCAUGACCCAAGAGACAGAAGAGAAGAAGACACAGACACAGAGAGGAAGGCCAUGUGAAGAUGGAGGCAGAGGUUGGAGAGAUUUAGCCAUAAGCCGAUGGAGUCCUGGAGCCGCCAGAAGCUGAAUGAGGCAAGGAAGGAUUGUCUCCUAGGCCUUGGGGAAGUCUAUGGA